UUAAAGUAGUAAGGGCGCAGGGUGGAUGCCUUGGCACUAAGAGCCGAUGAAAGACGUGAUAAGCUGCGAAAAGCUUCGGGGAGGAGCACAUAUCCAAUGAUCCGGAGAUAUCUGAAUGGGGAAACCCGGCAGAGGAAACCUCUGUCAGCGUGCAGUGAAUACAUAGCUGUACGUGGGGAACCCGGGGAACUGAAACAUCUAAGUACCCGGAGGAAGAGAAAGAAAAUUUAUCGAUUUCCAAAGUAGCGGCGAGCGAAAUGGAAAGAGCCCAAACCGUGAUGCGUGCAUCGCGGGGUUCGGACUGCGUUGUGGCAGACGUAAGAUAGGAGAACGGACUGGGAAGUCCGGCCGGAGAGAGUGAAAGCCUCGUAUCCGAAAUCCCAAGUCGCCUAGCAGGAUCCAGAGUAGGACGAGACACGAGAAACCUUGUCUGAACGAGCGGGGACCACCCCGUAAGGCUAAAUACUUCUUAGUGACCGAUAGCGCAUAGUACUGUGAAGGAAAGGUGAAAAGUACCCCGGGAGGGGAGUGAAAGAGAACCUGAAACCCUGUGUCUACAAGCUGUGGGACCUCUUUAUAUGAGGGACUGCGUACUUUUUGUAGAACGGUCCGGCGAGUUGUGCGUACUGGCGAGGUUAAGGACUUAAGGUCUGGAGCCGAAGUGAAAGCAAGCGUUAAUAGCGCGUCAAGUCAGUGAGUGCAGACCCGAAACCGGGUGACCUAUCCAUGUCCAGGUUGAAGCUUCCGUAAGAGGAAGUGGAGGACCGAACCCACAUCCGUUGAAAAGGGUGGGGAUGAGGUGUGGAUAGCGGAGAAAUUCCAAUCGAACCCGGAGAUAGCUGGUUCUCCUCGAAAUAGCUUUAGGGCUAGCCUCAUACAAGUCUGCCGGAGGUAGAGCACUGAAUUUCCGCGGGGGCGUCAAAGCCUACCAAAGAAUAUCAAACUCCGAAUGCCGGACAGAUGGUGUAUGGGAGUCAGACUGUACGAGAUAAGUUGGACAGUCAAAAGGGAAAGAGCCCAGACCGCCGGCUAAGGUCCCAAAGUGGGUGUUAAGUGGAAAAGGAUGUGGGAUCUCUAAGACAACCAGGAUGUUGGCUCAGAAGCAGCCAUUCAUUAAAAGAGUGCGUAACAGCUCACUGGUCGAGAGGUCCUGCGCCGAAAAUGUCCGGGGCUGAAACACCACACCGAAGCCGCGGAACCCGUAAGGGUUGGUAGAGGAGCAUUCUUAGGGGAGCGAAGCAUUACCGGAAGGGGAUGUGGACCGCUAAGAAGAGAGAAUGCCGGAAUGAGUAGCGAGAGCAAGGUGAGAAUCCUUGCGGCCGAAUAUCCAAGGUUUCCAGAGUAAAGCUGAUCUGCUCUGGGUAAGUCGGGGCCUAAGGAGAGGCAGAGAUGCGUAUCCGAUGGACAGCAGGUUUAAGAUUCCUGCACCCCUUGUUAUCAGAACUGCGGGGACACGGGAAGGGAAGCAGAGCCGGGAAUGGAAAGCCCGGUGCAAGCGAAGUAGUCGCAGGGUUGGAAAAUCCGCCCUGCAUAAGACGAAGGCGUGAUGCGGAGCGAAAUGAAGUAGUGAAGCUGCGGCCCCUUCCUGUCGAGAAAAGCCGCUAUCGUGUAGCAAGGGCCCGUACCGUAAACCGACACAGGUGGAUGAGGAGAGGAUCCUAAGGCCGGCGGGAGAAGUGUUGUUAAGGAACUCGGCAAAAUGACUCCGUAACUUCGGGAGAAGGAGUGCUGCGCAAGCAGCCGCAGAGAAAUGGCCCAAGCAACUGUUUAGCAAAAACACAGGUCUAUGCGAAACCGAAAGGUGAGGUAUAUGGGCUGACGCCUGCCCGGUGCUGGAAGGUUAAGAGGAGAGGUUAGCGCAAGCGAAGCUUUGAAUUUAAGCCCCAGUAAACGGCGGCCGUAACUAUAACGGUCCUAAGGUAGCGAAAUUCCUUGUCGGGUAAGUUCCGACCCGC
rnacentral:rRNA from 1 species